ensembl:snoRNA Gm54643 predicted gene, 22986
ACCCUCUGGUUCUACAUACUAUCAGAGCUCAACACUUGUUGGUAGUAAAGGAGGAAGAGCGGUGCUCCAGUUGGCUUUUUAGGAUUGGUGUCUGGUUCAUAGUGUGUGGGCUUGAUUUCAAUAGGG